GCUGGUCCCGGCUCUCGCGGUGCCCGGCCGCAGUGGGGCGCCGCCUUUCCCCGUUGACUGGAUUGCUGCUCUGGUACCUUCGUCCCCUUGAGCGAACAUUCUGUGACUCAGGCUUGAAUUGGAUUUAACUGAGCCUGUUAACCAGAGAAAACGUAGGCUGAGUUUUCCUGGGAUUACAUCAUCUUCCUCCUCUUUUCAGAUCAUUCUAGCCUUUGGCCGCCGCAAAACGUCGGCAACACGAUUGUGAACACAUAGUGACCUCUGGAAAUGGUUUUCCACCAGUCCGCCCUCACUCCGCUGUACACAUGGCCCAAGGUUCCAUGAACUCCCAGAACAAAAUGCAAAUUGGGAUUCUCUGCACUUUGCCUCCACUUCGGAGAACCACUUCGGAUAACUGCUCUGGAGUUCGGUUUGAAUUAUAAUAUCACCCACUGUGCUGUGUGUUGAAAGGCUUGCAGCAGUGACCUCAUUCAGGAUUAGCCAAUUUGGUUUUUGCGAGACUUUGGAACUGGACCAAGGGUACAAGGGUACGUUAGUCCAUCUCUGCUGGUGACUUGAAGAGAAAACGUGAACUUGAUGGUUGUCCACUUGGAAGCAAGAAAACUUAUUUUCAGAGGGAGAAGCAGCAGCAGUUUUCAGAAUACUACUAAUGAUAAACCAAGGAUUGAGGUGGGGAGAAUGAGACAUGUUGAUGAAGAUGUUUUUGUAACAGGUAACAAAUUCAUUUGGGGAUAUGCUUGACAUGUAGCCUUUUAGAUGGAAGCCAGGAAGGUAACAUCUGACAGCUGACUGUAGUCACUAAGCCACUUGUAAACAUCCACUUUUCUCAUUACAAACUCAUGAACAUCCUCUCAAAUUAGAAGGAUUCAUUUUGAAAACUUUGGAGAGAUAAGGAAAUUCCUAAGAUAAAGGGCUUUACGUGUGUUACAUGGAAGCCACUGUAAGAGAGGAAGGAUGUUCUAGAGCAAUUCGAGUUCAGUGUGACAUCAGCAUGGCAACCAGAGGGAAAGACAGUUUUAUAUCUGGUUGUAGGACACACAGGCCACUGAACUCGUUUGGCCUUCUGUAGGUGAUUGCCAUGUGUGUAUUUAGUCGCGUGGUACCUGGCUGUACAAAAGAGGCAAUGAUCCUCUAUGUAAAAUUCUAUCAGUCACGCACACGUACAAAUCGAAGUGUUCACAUCAAACAACAGCGUUUGUCCAUUCUCUCAUCUAUUUGUAAUUGAAGCAAGAAAAUCAGAGCUAUUUAAGAGUGGCUCUUUUUUAAAGAGUAAGUUAUACAACUGAAUCCUCUUGCUAAGUAAUUAAAAGUGUUCUUUCCCAGAGAGAGAAAACAAAUAAGGUAUUUAAUUUUUUUAAAGCUCCUUUUCCCUUCAAAGGUUCCUGAAAUCAGACAACCGCCUUAGAAUAGUUAGCGGGCUGAUUGCAGCUAAAGAAAACUCAAUCCCUUAUGUUAGUUAUACGUGCGGGCUUCCUCCUCAGUAACUGAUCAGCUCCUUUAAGGAUCUCUCAUCUCAUGCCCUGAACUGUGCAUUCUCUUGUUUUUCUCACUUUAACUGGGAAAUAAAGCCACUAGUUAUUAAUUGGAAAAUAUUUUUAAAAAAUGGAGUAGGGGGUUGAGAAAAAUCUUAAAACACAGUAUAAAAGAAUGAAAUUUUGAAAAAAAAAGAAACAAGUCUUCAUUAUCCCAACAUCAGUACAAAGAUUGCUUUUGUACUUUGGAAAUUUAAGAAAAGCCAAUGAAGAAAUUAUGAAUUUAAUAGCUGGAAAGGUAAAGAGAAAGAGAGAGAGAGUGGUUGUAUGGAAAGAGAGGCCAGAGGCCUAUAUGACAUUCCUAUUAGUGUUUCUAUUAGGCACUCAUACACAGAGCAUUAGGGAACUGAGAAUUUCUUUGCAUUAAAUUAUAUGUAACUAAAUAUAAUCAAAUUGCACCAUGGCUCAGGAUGUGAAGCUAGCAAACAUAUGCACUGCAAAAUUCAGCUGGGUUUUUUCAGCUUUAAAGAAAGUGUUAAACAAGAAUCUCAAGAUAUAAAAGCUAAUGAACUAAAUUACCAAAAUGAAAUGCAUUCCCUUAACUUAUUCAGCAGAAUUUAAUGAGAAGAGAAAUCAUCACUCUUUAGAAUGCUACAAGUCUUGGAUUUUUGGAGGAAUGUUUUAUACAGCAUAUCCUAGGAAAAGAUGAAGAACACUCUAGAAUACUUGGAAAUUUCCUAGCUAUCUGGGCUGGUUGAUGUUUUUCUAAAAGAAAUUCAAGAGAAGAGUACCAAUUUUCAAAUAUAUUUCAAAAUAAGUGAAAUUAAAGGUAACAAUUACUUAAUACUAUGAUGCAUGAGUUUUCAAAAAAUACAUGGGGAAGGAUAUGUGGUUUGGGGCAGUGCUAACAUAAUGAAUAAUCAUAUCAUAUACCAAAUUUUGAAUUUUCUUUCUAAUAUUGCAACUGACCCAAAGACCCUGCAGUGAGGAACAGUUUAGACUUAUGGUACCAAUACACAUACCUAAUAAGUAUGAUAUGGAACUGAAGAAGAAGAAAAAAAUCUAUAGGUUGCCAUUAAAAUCGUUUGAAAGAGUUAAGAGAAAAUGCAAAAGACAGAUUACACAUUUGGAAUGUAUGUACCUGGUGAUUUUAUUUAAAGAAAAAAAAAUAUAAGGGGCUCUGGAACUGAGCCAGGUGUAUAGGUGAGGACUGAACCUACAGCCAUACUAUUUCUCCCUCAACUACCAUGUAAGGAAAAUUAUGCACUUUAGGCAUUCUGUGGAAUGUGCUGAUUUUUGGAAGUUAAAAAGAGCUAUGUACAGUAAAACUAUAAGAUUCACAAAACAGAAAACGACAUCUUUAAUUUAGCUGGCCAUUUGAUAAGGCAACUUGUACAAGGCUUCUUGGAAUCAAAGCAUAAAGUACCAGCAAAGCUAAAAAAUUAUACUAAAUGAUUUACAGAAACAAGUACCAAGAUGCAAUUUUCCAGCCAUUAUAUUAAAAAAAAAAAAAAAAAAGAACCAAAACCUUUUCUAAAUCACCAAAUAGGGACUAUCAAAGUCAACAUAGACACUCAGAAUGCUGGAUUUUUUUUUUUUCUUUUUUGGUACAAGGAAAUGAAUAUUAUAAUGGGAAAUGGGAGGACAAAACAAAGAAUUCUGUAAGAAAAGUAUUAUAUGAUGAGUGUAACAAAGGCUACCAUCCAUAUUAGUUUUAUGGGUUGUAAAGGAUAUAAUAACUCAAUGAUAGGGACUUAACUUUUUAGAGUUUAAUGAUCAUUUUGGAGGAAAGGAUCUACCAUGAGCAACUCGACACAUGCUCCUGGAGUUGAGAUAGUUCUUAUUUAAUUUUUACUUCCAAGAACGUAUUGCUUUUAAUUGCAACAUAUGGCACAGAUGAAAAUCACUCUGGCGCUACAGAGUUUAAGAUUCGUUGCAAGAGUAUGUUCAACAAUGAAGCCAAGGAUGAGUAUCAAUAAGUGUUAUUGUACAUAGCCGACAGUAGUUUGGUUGGCGUAAAAGGGCCAAAGCCUCCGAACGAGCUUAGAAAAUGGGAAAAUUAGUUUUGCUGUUACCAAAGGAUUUCCAGCAAGGACUAUUUAAAUAGACCUGUUAAAUAUAAUUGAAAAAAACUAUUUCCACCAACUUUUAAACAAUAGCUUUACCUUUCCACGAGAUAUGCAUUUCUAUAAAGAUUUUAUAUUCAAUCAAAAAUGUUACCAAUACAUUUGCAUCUCUUUAUCUGGGGUGCUAAGGACACAUUUUUUAGGGAGAUACAGACAUCAGUAAAAGUUAUCUAACAGUAAACUAAGAUGAUGUGAAGCUGACCUUUAUUCCCCAUUCCAGAACUUUGAAAAGGUAUAGUAUAUUAGUGUUUCCUUAGCAAAUCUAUGUCAACAUUAAAUGAAAUACUCUGUCCCUGGUUCUCUAUUUCAUAUGAAGCACGGUGGCCAAACUGGGCCUUUCUAGGCUUCUCUGGAAAAGGUUCCCUAAUGCUACAGCUCGCAAUAGCACUUCUGACUUAGCGCUUGCUGGAAGUCGUAACUGUGUUCAUACUUAGGAAUCUGCAAUUCCUGUGUAGAGUUUCUCAAAAAGACCUGUUA